UACGGGGGGGGCAAGCGUUGUUCGGAAUUACUGGGCGUAAAGGGCUCGUAGGUGGCCAACUAAGUCAGACGUGAAAUCCCUCGGCUUAACCGGGGAACUGCGUCUGGUACUGGAUGGCUUGAGUGUGGGAGAGGGAUGCGGAAUUCCAGGUGUAGCGGUGAAAUGCGUAGAUAUCUGGAGGAACACCGGUGGCGAAGGCGGCAUCCUGGACCAUUACUGACACUGAAUAGCGAAAGCCAGGGGAGCAAACGGG
rnacentral:rRNA from 1 species